rnacentral:rRNA from 1 species
UACAGAGACUGCAAGCGUUAUUCGGAUUCACUGGGCGUAAAGGGUGCGCAGGUGGCCGAGUGUGUAGGCGUGAAAGCCCGGGGCUUAACCCCGGAAUUGCACCUAAAACUACUUGGCUAGAGCAUUGGAGAGGGGAGCAGAAUUCAUGGUGUAGCAGUGAAAUGCGUAGAUAUCAUGAGGAAUACCAGAGGCGAAGGCGGCUCCCUGGACAAUAGCUGACACUCAGGCACGAAAGCGUGGGGAGCAAAAGGG